AGUGAACGCUGGCGGUAGGCCUAACACAUGCAAGUCGAACGGCAGCACAGUAAGAGCUUGCUCUUACGGGUGGCGAGUGGCGGACGGGUGAGGAAUACAUCGGAAUCUACUUUUUCGUGGGGGAUAACGUAGGGAAACUUACGCUCAUACCGCAUACGACCUACGGGUGAAAGCAGGGGAUCUUCGGACCUUGCGCGAUUGAAUGAGCCGAUGUCGGAUUAGCUAGUUGGCGGGGUAAAGGCCCACCAAGGCGACGAUCCGUAGCUGGUCUGAGAGGAUGAUCGGCCACACUGGAACGGAGACACGGUCCAGGCUCCUACGGGAGGCAGCAGUGGGGAAUAUUAGACAAUGGGCGCAAGCCUGAUCCAGCCAUACCGCGUGGGUGAAGAAGGCCUUCGGGUUGUAAAGCCCUUUUGUUGGGAAAGAAAAGCAGCAGGUUGAUACCCCGCUGUUCUGACGGUACCCAAAGAAUAAGCACCGGCUAACUUCGUG
rnacentral:rRNA from 1 species